rnacentral:rRNA from 1 species
AUUGAACGCUGGCGGCAUGCCUUACACAUGCAAGUCGAACGGCAGCGCGGGAGCUUGCUCCUGGCGGCGAGUGGCGAACGGGUGAGUAAUACAUCGGAACGUGUCCGUUUGUGGGGGACAACCAGCCGAAAGGUUGGCUAAUACCGCAUAAGACCUGAGGGUGAAAGCCGGGGACCGCAAGGCCUGGCGCAGACGGAGCGGCCGAUGAUUGAUUAGCUUGUUGGCGGGGUAAAGGCCCACCAAGGCGACGAUCAAUAGCUGGUCUGAGAGGACGACCAGCCACACUGGAACUGAGACACGGUCCAGACUCCUACGGGAGGCAGCAGUGGGGAAUUUUGGACAAUGGGGGCAACCCUGAUCCAGCCAUGCCGCGUGCGGGAAGAAGGCCUUCGGGUUGUAAACCGCUUUUGUCAGGGACGAAAGGGACGGGUUAAGAGCUAGUUCUGCUGACGGUACCUGAAGAAUAAGCACCGGCUAACCACGUGCCAGCCGCCGCGGUAA